GAACCAUUAGCUCAGCUGGUAGAGCAUCUGACUUUUAAUCAGAGGGUCAGAGGUUCGAAUCCUCUAUGGCUCA
rnacentral:tRNA from 1 species